GGAAUGGAUAAGCGCUGAAAGCAUCUAAGCGCGAAGCCAACUUCAAGAUAAGAUUUCCCACCGCAAGGGUAAGACCCCAGAAAGACUAUCUGGUUGAUAGGUCGAAGGUGUAAGUGCAGCAAUGUAUUUAGCUUAUCGAUACUAAUAGGUCGAGGACUUGACCAAU
rnacentral:rRNA from 1 species